rnacentral:rRNA from 1 species
GAUGAACGCUGGCGGCGUGCCUAAUACAUGCAAGUCGAGCGAACAGACGAGGAGCUUGCUCCUCUGACGUUAGCGGCGGACGGGUGAGUAACACGUGGAUAACCUACCUAUAAGACUGGGAUAACUUCGGGAAACCGGAGCUAAUACCGGAUAAUAUAUUGAACCGCAUGGUUCAAUAGUGAAAGACGGUUUUGCUGUCACUUAUAGAUGGAUCCGCGCCGCAUUAGCUAGUUGGUAAGGUAACGGCUUACCAAGGCGACGAUGCGUAGCCGACCUGAGAGGGUGAUCGGCCACACUGGAACUGAGACACGGUCCAGACUCCUACGGGAGGCAGCAGUGGGGAAUCUUCCGAAAUGGGCGAAGGCCUGACGGAGCAACGCCGCGUGAGUGAUGAAGGUCUUCGGAUCGUAAAACUCUGUUAUUAGGGAAGAACAAAUGUGUAAGUAACUAUGCACGUCUUGACGGUACCUAAUCAGAAAGCCACGGCUAACUACGUG